UGGUCUUUCCUAAUGACAUGUCCAAAGUAAGCAAGUCAAAGUCUUGCCAUCCUCACUUCUAGGAGCACUCUGGUUGUAUUUCUUCUAAAACUGAUUUGUUCAUUUUUCAUAGAAUGUCAAAACUAGAAGGAACUUUAGUGAUCAUUGUAGAUACCUUCUUUCAGCUUACUGCCAGAGUAGUGGAGAUCCAGAAAGGUAAAAUGUGCAGCUGGAGGAUGCUGUGAACCCCUUCAUCAGAUAGGCAUUCUCCAGCUGCACAUGCAGAGAACCCUGCACUGAGAAAGCAUAGUGCCAAGCCAAGCUGGAUACCGACCUGCCGAAGACUUGAAUUAUCAAAGCUUUCUGCUGUUCCUAGAUAUAUCCAGAUUGACUAUAUAGUUGUUAGCUUUCUGCUUUUAUUUGUUCCAUGGCCGUAAAGUGUCAAAGCGAGUUUUGUUUAAGCAUGAACAUUUUAUAAGAAAUUUUGAUGGUUUCUAGAUUAUGUGUUGGUCAGAUAUUUCCGUGGAUGAUUAAUAAGAUGAAUAUGUUAGGUAUUGGCUCUGAGAGUCUAUUCCCUCUAUCUUUGUGCUUCUCGAUUUUAAGCUUUUGAAGGCAAUAAAACUAGGUCUUAUUCAUGUUUGUAUCCACUAAGUCUGACACAUAUGAGUACCCAGUGAAUGCUUGCUUAUGUGAAAUUAAAUAAAGUGCAGGAAAUGCUGAUUUCCAAGUCAUCCAUUUAUUUAAAUGUUUUCUUCUGUGAUACCUGUAGCUAUUUUAAUCUAAAAAUUUGGGGGGGAGGUGAGUGUACUUUUUAUUACCUUAAUUUACAUAAUAGAUAAGUUAUGUUUUGUGGGAAAGGGAGAGAAUGGCAAAGGUGUUUCUCACUAGUUUGUCGUUGUUAUUCCUGCCAUCUUUUUUUUCUGUUACCAUGCUCUUUUUUAAGUUUCUGUGCAUUUGUUUUUAGUUAAUUUAUUUGAUUUAAAUACACUGAUCAAUUCGCAAACAUUUUCUGUAACAUUCAUUAAGUAUAAAGGCAAGACAGAGGUUUAGAGAUGUGCUCAGAAUUUAAGAACUAGUGGUUUAAUUUCCUGACUCUGAAAGUCUAAAUGUUUCCUUAGAUUGAUGCAGAUUAGUUUAACAUAAUUAGAAGUUUGAAAGGUGCCUGCUUCUAAAGCUUUUAAAAUGAUGAUAGUUAGAAAUCACUGCUUCUUCCCUGAUGACUGAUGCCUUUAAUUCAUGUUUACAAGCUCCAAAGACUUUUAAUAUAUUUUAUCCUACUCUGAUUAGCAGUAAUACAGAACUGAAACCACCGUUUUCUCUAUCCUGGAAUUCUUAGUUGGAAAAAAAAAAAGUAUCCUGGAGAUUCUGCCCCUCCUGAACUUAGUUAAGGCAGCUUUUGCCUCUUAUUUUUAUAUUUCUUAACCUUUACCAAUCUAUAAUACAGCUGUGGUAUUGCUGGGAUAUACCAGGAAGACAUUCCUUCUUUCCACUUCCUCUCCCUCUUUUUCGCCAUCUGUGCACCAUGUACAACCACAUAAUACAUAUGUUUAUAUCAGUUCUAUUGUAUGGAUUGUAUAUGCUGCCAGCCAGCCACGCUCUUUCCUGUCCACACCGCCGCAGCUAUGACCACAUCCUUCUCAAACCUUAGAAAAAGAGAGAGGAAACCAGUGCGUGCUGUUACACUAAUGAUGUUUUGACAGUAUUCUGACUGCAACUUCCCUGCCUUAAUUUAAUGGCAAAUAAAACCUCUCACAACCAAAUUUAGAAUGUGACUGACACCAUUGUUUAAAUGUGUGAGAUUCAUCACGGUUAUCUAAUGCUCCAUCUUUUUCCUUCUAAUCUGUGGCAUGGAAUAAAAACUAUGAUGAACAAGUGAAAAGAAGUACUUUCAGGGUAGGCAAAUGUUGAUUUUAAACAUUGAAACCAAACGGUAAUGAAUUAUUAAUACUACAGUUCUCUUCUCUAACAAAAGUGACAGCUUAAUUUUGAUGGGAUCCCUAUGAUCUUUUAAGUGUAUUCAUGCCAGUAGUGUUGUCCUCAGCAUUAGAUCCUAUCUCUAUUCCUUUUCAAAAAGCCCAGUUAAAGUAAGGUUGCUUGAAACUACCUGAAAACAUCUUUCUAGACUUCCACCUUAUUGCAGGGCCCUGGGGUCGUAACCUCUUAACCUUACAGGUUAUCGGUCUCUUGCUUUUUGAUCCUUUUUGUUCUUAGUUUUUGCCUACUUCCUCUACAACAUUCAAGCUUUGUUAUAUAAGGAAAUUGGAAACACCAAUUUUGGAUGAGAUAAGAGUUACCCUCUCUUCCAGAGUAAUGCAAAAAGAUGAUUUUAAAUAGAAACAUGCUUGGGAAAAAAUGAGCAAAACUAACUACAGCAUCCUGACUAAGCCAGUUUGAAGUAGAGUGCCUUUAUUUCUUAUCCUCUCUUUAGAAACAAAAAGAAAGGAGAAAAAAAAAAACCAAAACAUAGGACUUACUGUUGACUUAGUGGGAAAAUCUUUAGGUCACAAAGCAGCUUGGCUUGAUACAUCAACAAAGAAAGUCAGAGUGGUCUGAGUGAAUGAGAAGCGGGUUAAUAAAAUUGGUUGGUUAGCCUAUUACAACUAACGUUGUUGUGGAACUACUGUGGACAAAGCAUCAUCACAUUUAUUAUUUUAUAGCCAUAGCAACUUAGAGAGAGAUUAUGACCCUCAUUUCAUAGUAGAAGAACGUGAGCUUCAGAAAAGAACCUCAACUUGCCCAAGGCCACGUAGUAAAUAAAUGAAGGAGCUGGGUGUAGAAUGUUAGCCUCCUGGCUUCUGAUACUUGACAGACGCAGAAACAUUCGUAUUCGAGAAGCUUUAGGACUGGAGCAAAUCUCUUUUGAUUCUCAACCACAGUAGUAGUAAGAUAUGCUCAGGUAUUUAGUUAGCUGGCUAGCUCUCUCAUUACAUUAAUAUCUUUUUACUAUUAUCUUGCUUCUGUGUCAGCUAAUAUUUUGGUUUUGUUUUUUUGCUACACCCAUAGGGCCUGAUACAGUUAGACUGAAUUUAUAAUUCUCCAAAUAAAAAAAGUUCUCUGAGCCUAAUAAUCAAGUACUGAAAUUCCCAAUAGAUUUGGAAAAUGUACUUUUUUUUUUAAUGAUACCACUCCACUCUCCUCCCUCAGCCCAAGAAUCCCCAUUAGAGUGGAAAAAGAAAAAAACCCUCACACAGGAUUUCAAAGCCAAAUGAAGAGCUCUGUGUCCUUUUUUGAGAGAACAGGUGUUUGUCUUUGAUCCUUACUCAUCCUUCGAGCGAGAAAAAGAAGACAAAUCAUACAAAAAGAAACCACUAUAGGUCGUUAUUCAGUUGUCUUUUAGUUUAAUUAAAAUUGAGAUCUUGCUUUUAAAAAACGUUAAGGUAAACUUUAACCCAAAGGUAAACCCAGUGACAGCAAUGUAUCUUCUCAAAUGUAGAUUACCUGAUAUUCACAAGUAUCUAGCAAAGUCAGACUGAGAAGGCCUGUGAACAGUAAUCAUAUUUCAUCCCUUAUUAAUCACGCACUUGUCUGACUCACAAGAGCACUGAAAUAUGUGUGUGUGUGUUCUGAAUUUGAUUUGAUUUGAUCUGGUUUGCCAGCUGAAUAAGGGGGCAAAGAAUGUAAUGUGGAAGCCAUCCAUUGCCACUGGAGAAAGGAUCCAAGAGUAAUUCCUCAAGCUGGGAACAUGAGCUGUGAGCAACAUGUUUAAAUAGCAAAAAUAUCCAAAGUUUGAGUCAGUCCAUUUAUUUUGGGGUGUGCACUCUCUUCUUUGAGGCUUAAAGGAGUGUCUUUGACUUAGACUCUUAACAAAUGUAGUGCUAGAGGAGGUGAGAGACUUGGAGCCCUGGAGAGUCUGCCCAGGUUGUGGUUAAUAGUGACAGAGAGUGGUGUGGAUCCCUUCAUGAAGUGCAUUCCUUCCAUGUUCAAUCAGAAAAAGCCAUUGACUUUUUAAGAAAGGCUUUCCUGUGCACUUCAAUAUGGGAAAGAGGUAGGAGGAAGGAAGCUAACAUUUAGCACUUUUAUUGUGCCAGACACCAUUCCAGGUACUUUCCAGAAGCAUCACAUUUAAUUCUGUCAACAAUCCUCGUAGGUUGUGAUUAUUAUCCCCAUUUUGCAGAUGAGAAAAGUGACAAUAUCUCAAAUGACUUGCCCAAUGUAACACAGCUAAUUAAGGUUGGAGUCAGGAUUUGAUCCCGAUCCGACUCCACAGCCCAUGCUUUCUCAACUGCCUUGAAGCAUUACUUAAAGCGUAUAUUAGAGUUCUCAACAAAGAGUUUACUUUUCUUCUCAUUUUCCUUGUUUUUCUUCACCAGGGGCUGUCUGGGCCAACUACGUCUAUUGGUUAGAAUAAGAUGCCAUCGGGCCCAAAAUCUUGUUUGAUGUCUGGAUAGAAUAAGUUGAGUUUUUACAAAGCAAAACUGAGAAUUAGAUAGCAUCACCUACCAUUGUCACAGACUGUGAGAGACAAGCUAACAGUGUUACUGACUCAGUGCCAACCCAGAAAAACAACUCAAAGGUACAUGUCCUGUUGCUCAUAGAUGGUUUAAAUGUUCUAAAAGAAAAACAAGUAACACAUUAAUAGGAGAAAGAGCCUGAACAACUCAUAUACUAAGCCAGUAGCCCUUCAACAUUGAAGAUUACUCUUAUGUAUCUGUCCUAUUUCAAUUCAGAGCCAGAACAGAGUAUAUCUUAAAUUGAAUACAGCCAGAAAGCAGUUUCCUGAUAAAGUGUGUUUAGGAAGGAAAAAUUGUUUUAUUUCAACAAAUGCAGCUGGAUUUCCUGGUGGGCCUCCCACAUCGUCAACAUCAAUAGCAUUUAUUUGUUGACCAACAGAAGACCACCAGAAUGAGGUAUUUCCAUUUCGGCAUACUUCUAAUUCUACAAGGAAGAUAGCUGUUGAGGGAGCUAGUAUAAAGAAAAUGGCAAACAAACACCAUAGGUGAUCCUGUGUGACAUUCAGGAACCACUGCAGACUUCCAGUGCUCAAGACAUUCUCCUCAGCCAUAAUGUCGUUGACCUUGACAUGCUCAGAACAAAUUGGUCUUUGUGAUUGCUACCACAUGCUGUAGUGCCUUCUAACCCUGCCAUUGGUCUAGAGUGAAGGGGGCAGGAGAAAGGGCUGCUCAUCAGAGAAUAAGCUUCUUUAUGUUCUUUAGACCCUUGCCCAGCAUGCUUUUCACUCUGGUUAAUCUUAAAAUGGCCAUUUUCUUAUAAUAAAGUGUCCUAAGCUUUGUAGAAUCUGUGCAGUGUACCUAGUUUUAUCCAAAUGCUUGAUAGGUGAAUUGUCUUUGUAUUCUUAAAAUGUGAACUGUUUCAGGAGCAGAGUUUAACUGGCAGACGCAACCAUAAAGACAGCCUUUAUGCUCAAUUUAGAAGAUAAUUUAUUGUCCCAAUAUGUAGCUCUGUGUACCCAUCAGACCAAUAGAAUCUGAGCUUUUAAAGGAAAAAAAUGAUAUCUCUUUCCCAACUAAAGAGUCAACUGAAGAGAGCAGUUAGCAUAUUCUGAAUAAUAGAUCUCUUUUACUUCUCUUCCAUAGGUUUUUCAUUUAUCUGGGGAUAUUUUCACAGGUUCCAGCCAAUGAACGUUUGUGUUAGGCCCCUCUGUUUCUAGCACUCUAGUUGUGAGCACUUAAUAAAUGUUUGUUGAGUGAAUGAAUGAAUGAGUGAGCCCUGCACAAUUCAAGAUGCAUGGGAGAAGUCAUAAUCUUAACACAAUCAAAUGAUCACCAUUAAAACAUAAUUGUUGAACCAUAUGUUUGUCUUCGUUUUUUAACUAAAAUUUAUACGUUAACUCUGGUAAUGUGUACCUUGGCACAUACAGUGGAGGAUGGCCAGAUAUGUGAACAGCAAACAUGCUCAGGGCAUCCUAGGGCAUUCUCUAGUAAUGAGAUACUGCAUCCUGUCCACAGUGUUUCGCAUAUUCGGAAUCAGAGCUGUCUAAAUGAUUCCAUAGUGCAAGGAGUAACUUUUCUUAAUGUUUUACAAUAAGUAAGGUCAUAUUUUAUCUUGGUUUGUAUAUAUCUCUAUAAAUUACAUUAUUCCUUGUGGAACUAUAUAAAUGAAUAGCUAUAAUAUUAACUAAAAUUACAUUUUUAUGUCAGUGGGUAGUUCCCCCCCCCCAUAAGUAUAUUAGUUUUUACUUUGAUUCUAUCAAGUUUUUUUUUUUUUCAAUUUGAUGAAUUCUGUAUAGAUCCAAAAUAGGUGACAGAGGAACAAAUGACAUGUAAGCAACAAAAGGAGUAUAUUAUUUGAGUGCCUCUUUUGUUGAAGGAACAUUAUUCGUAUUUGUUCUUGGCAUGUUUUCCAGGUUCUCUGUACAUAUGCUCUUGCAGUGUGCCAAAGGUAGCAGAGAUAUUUCUUGAACUUAGUUAUUGUAUUGCCUACUUACAGACAUUUUACUUUUCACAAUAUUUUAUUUUUUCUAAAGCUGGGCUGUCUUUUUCCAGGGACAAGAGAAUUUUCUUCUUGAUACUCUGCUAAAGCCCUGCUAAGGCUCUGACUCACCUUGACUUUAAAUCCAUAAUUUAGUUGUUAACAGUAUUACUGAUAAAUACCAAAUCACCAAAUAAAAGAAACAUGAUAGUAAGUUUCAUUAAAGAGUUGAGGGUCUUCCUUCUGUUUUGGACAUCUCUUAUCCUCCACUUGACUUUAACUUGAAUCUCACUAGUCCAGCUUAACUUGAGGAUAUGCUGAAAAGGAAGAGGGCAAAUCAAAGCACAUGGUCAUCCUAAACGCUAAUAUCAGAGACUCCCCGUUUAUAAAUCUAUUAGGUCCAUACUUCCAUAAGGAAAGUGGGUAUCCAUGUUGUUGUCAGAUGCUCCCCCAGAGACAGCCUCAGACACAUUUUGUUCCCCAACAGAAUUAGAAGGAAAAAGUCUGCUUAGCUGUCUUUUCCUGUUUACAAUACAGCUGCCCCCUGAAGCAGAGCCGUUGUCGGCAGCUCACCAGCACGCUCUGCAAGCUUGCGGUACAAGUCUAUGAUAUAAGUGGUGUGGAGUGGUUUUGUUGCUAAGGAAAAGGUGCUAAAAAAAAAAAAAAAAAAAAAAAAGGCUGUAUCUCUUGUAUAGCUCAGAUCCUUUGGGUAUUUAAUGUACAGUUUCAACAAAGGACACUCAGAAUUAUACCUCUGGUUCCAAAUUGCUUAAAUGUUGAAACAUAUGGUCUCAUGUUCCUUUCGUUAGGAAACAACCAGCUGUUCUCAGCCUGCCAAAUCCAAGUAAACAUCCACUGUGUGGAAGAGUGAAUCUGAAGUGGUUCAGUAAAAACAUAAAAGCUGUUUUUGCUGAAGAAAGAAAAAAAAAAAAGGCCACCCCGAAACAACAGCUAGUGAAGGGAAAAAAAAAAAAUCCUGUUCUGAUAACGUGUUUUCCCUGGCUUGCUAGUACUGGCCUGUGGCGGAGGAAUGGCUCUGGAGAUGUUUCAAU